AAAUACCUGNAANGCUGAGGCNCGAAAAGCGUGGGGAGUCACACAGGAUUAGAUACCCUGGUAGUCCACGCUGUAAAACGUUGAUUACUCGAUGUGUGCGAUACACUGUACGCGUCUGAGCAAAAGCAUUAAGUAAUCCACCUGGGGAAUACGAUCGCAAGAUUGANACUCAAAGGAAUUGACGGGGGCCCGCACAAGCGGAGGAACAUGUGGUUUAAUUCGAUGAUACGCGAGGAACCUUACCUGGGCUUAAAUGCAGAAUGAUUUUCACCGAAAGGUGAAUUCCCUUCGGGGCAGACUGCAAGGUGCUGCAUGGUUGUCGUCAGCUCGUGCCGUGAGGUGUCGGGUUAAGUCCCAUAACGAGCGCAACCCCUAUUGUUAGUUGCCAGCGAGUAAUGUCGGGGACUCUAACGAAACUGCCGGUGUAAACCGUGAGGAAGGUGGGGAUGACGUCAAAUCAGCACGGCCCUUAUGUCCAGGGCUACACACGUGUUACAAUGGCCAGUACAGAGGGGUGCUACCUGGCAACAGGAUGCAAAUCUCGAAAGCUGGUCUUAGUUCGGAUCGGAGUCUGCAAUUCGACUUCGUGAAGCUGGAUUCGCU
rnacentral:rRNA from 1 species